rnacentral:sRNA from 1 species
GAGGGUGGGGGGAGCAGGCUGGAGCCCCACAGGCUGGGGGCUGUGAUCACAGAGGCGUGCUAGCCCCGGGCUGGGGGCCAGCUAGACCAGGAACACCAGGGACAGCUCGCUAAGCUGCUUUCUCAGCGAUUUUUCUCCCCAGACACAAAGUGGGCAGCUGAUGACACACUUGGGCAGUGACUUUCCCCCAGGGGCUGGGGUGCUGGAUGUCAUGUAUGAAUCCCCUUUCACACUGCUGUCCUGUGGCUAUGACACCUAUGUUCGCUACUGGGACCUCCGCACCAGUGUCCGGAAAUGUGUCAUGGAGUGGGAGGAGCCCCACGACAGCACCCUGUACUGCCUGCAGACAGAUGGCAACCACCUUCUGGCCACAGGUUCCUCCUACUACGGUGUUGUACGGCUGU